rnacentral:rRNA from 1 species
AUUGAACGCUGGCGGCAGGCCUAACACAUGCAAGUCGAACGAGUGGCGGACGGGUGAGGAAUGUCUAGGCAACUGCCUGCUGGAGGGGGAUAACUACUGGAAACGGUAGCUAAUACCGCAUACCAUUAGAUGUGCCCAGUUUGGGUUAGCUUGUUGGGGGGGUAACGGCUCACCAAGGCGACGAUCCCUAGCUGGUCUGAGAGGAUGACCAGCCACACGUGAGCUGAGACACGGUCCAGACUCCUACGUGAGGCAGGAGUGGGGAAUAUUGCACAAUGGGCGCAAGCCUAUUGCAGCCAUGCCGCGAGGAUGAAGAAGUGCUUCGGGUUGUAAAGUACUUUCAGCGUGGAGGCGUUACCCGCAGAAGAAGCACCGGCUAACUCCGUGCCAGCAGCCGCGGUAAUUC